rnacentral:rRNA from 1 species
UACGAAGGGGGCUAGCGUUGUUCGGAAUUACUGGGCGUAAAGCGCACGUAGGCGGAUCGAUCAGUCAGGGGUGAAAUCCCAGGGCUCAACCCUGGAACUGCCUUUGAUACUGUCGAUCUGGAGUAUGGAAGAGGUGAGUGGAAUUCCGAGUGUAGAGGUGAAAUUCGUAGAUAUUCGGAGGAACACCAGAAGCGAAGGCGGCUCACUGGCCCGAGACUGACGCUGAGGCGCGGAAAAGCUAGGGGGAGCGAACAGGA